UAAUGAUUGCGAAAUUCGUAAAGUUAACAUUUAAGUUUUUAAAAUAAAAAACGAAGUCUGCAACUGAAAUGUUAACUCCUAAUUUUGAUGAAGUGGAAGCAUUCCUUGUACUGUCCGUGUCCGUUCCAGAGUCUCCCACGUGCACUGGAGCGGCGAUGGAGCUAUCCACAGGCCCACGCAGCGCUGACGCCGAGGCCUGACGGCCACCUCCGGAGACGCGCGGAGGCCAAGAGGUGGAAGCAACACAAGGACCGGGGCUCCUGGCUGAGGCUCCAGCCCGUGGGAAGGAGGAAGACGGCGAUUUCCUAAUUGGGACCAUAUACAUCAGGUCAAAUAAUUUUCUUAUUUUCUGGGUGCACCCUGCCAGACUCAGGAGCUGCUGUGACAAAAGCGAGU
rnacentral:lncRNA from 1 species